ACAUUAGUCAGUCGAUGGUUGAAUGC
rnacentral:piRNA from 1 species